rnacentral:ncRNA from 1 species
UACCUGGUUGAUCCUGCCAGUAGUCAUAUGCUUGUCUCAAAGAUUAAGCCAUGCAUGUCUAAGUACAUGCCGAAACAAGGCGAAACCGCGAAUGGCUCAUUAAAUCAGUUAUGGUUCCUUAGAUCGUUUCUUCCUACUUGGAUAACUGUGGCAAUUCUAGAGCUAAUACAUGCAGUGAGCCCGAAGCCCCUCGGGGCGACGGGUGCUUUUAUUAGACCAAGAUCAAUCGGGCUUCGGUCCGUUUUGUGUGGUGACUCUGGAUAACUUUGUGCUGAUCGCACGGCCACGAGCCGGCGACGUUUCUUUCAAGUGUCUGCCUUAUCAACUGUCGAUGGUAGGUUAUGCGCCUACCAUGGUUGUUACGGGUAACGGAGAAUCAGGGUUCGAUUCCGGAGAGGGAGCCUGAGAAACGGCUACCACAUCCAAGGAAGGCAGCAGGCGCGCAAAUUACCCACUCCCGGCACGGGGAGGUAGUGACGAAAAUAACAUACGGGACUCUUUUGAGGCCCCGUAU